AGCCAUUCUUUCUAUAUUUUUUUUAAGAAAAUAUUGUACUUCAUUUUUACAAAAUUCUUCCAUUCCUUUAUUCGUCUAUAUUAGCCUUACUUUUAUUAGAAUUUGUCUUUCAUGAAAAUUAUUUUUAUAUGGUAAUAUUACUUCUAUUCCAAAAGUUAUUAGGAAUGUCAUUUUCUUCAUCUUUCCAAUGUGAAUGAGAAAAGGGAGGGGAGAGAAAUUUUCCAUUCUUUACAAAUUAGUUUUUUUCCAUCAAUUUCAUCAAUUUCACUCAAAAAUCUUGAAAAUUUUCAUAGCCACCAAAAAGGAAAAGUGAAGUAGAGAUUCUAGAGAGUUUGAUUAUCAUCUUGGAAAAAAGAAAUUGGAUUUGGAAGUGAAAAAAGUUGAGAAGAAAGUGAAGAGAUUAGAGAGACAAGUAGAAAAAAAGAAGAAAUGAUGGAAGUGUUGGAAACGAAGUGAAGAUGGUGACAAAAGUGAGGAAGGAAGAGAAUUAAAAGCAAAAUAGUGAAAUUCUAGCAGAAGAGAGGUGGUAAAGGCUUGAAUUGAAGCUUUAGAGUGAAGAUCAAUCUCAACUCAUCACAUCACAUCUUAAAGCUUAGAAGAGGGUAUGUUGUUGAUAUUUUGGUAAUAGUUUAUGGUAUGUACGUAGGUUUAAACCAAGUAUGUAUGUGAAGAUUUCUAGUGGAAUCAUUUGAUGGACUUUGAGCACCUCGUUAACUUUGCAAACAUAGUUAUAUCUGAUUGAGUUUUAAGUUGAAUUAUGUGAUGUUUAAGGUUGGAAAUAGGUAAAUAUGAAUGAUAUGUUUGUUGAACUGGUUGAAAAGUGUUAAACAAGUAUUGAUUUAGGUGUUGUAAAUUGAAAA